rnacentral:hammerhead_ribozyme from 1 species
GCAUUGCUGAGGAGUUCCAUAAUAGGACGAAACAGCUGUCCAGUAC